UACGUAGGGUGCGAGCGUUGUCCGGAAUUAUUGGGCGUAAAGAGCUUGUAGGCGGUUUGUCGCGUCUGCUGUGAAAAUCCGGGGCUCAACCCCGGACUUGCAGUGGGUACGGGCAGACUAGAGUGUGGUAGGGGAGACUGGAAUUCCUGGUGUAGCGGUGGAAUGCGCAGAUAUCAGGAGGAACACCGAUGGCGAAGGCGGGUCUCUGGGCCUUACCUGACGCUGAGGCGCGAAAGCUAGGGGAGCGAACAGG
rnacentral:rRNA from 1 species